AUGCCACCUGCUGACAAAAAUCUAGACAUUACUGCUGAUGCCAAUAAGCGCUUACCGACAGGAAGCUGGUUCGCUCUGCAUCUGGGCAGUAAGAAUGUGAGUGGGGAAAAUAAUGAUACUGUCCUUUACAAAGUUAGCCUCUCACUGAAGGGAAGUGACAUGCUGCAUUGCAUCCAUCAGUGGGGAAGCACACCGAUUGUAGCUUAUUUACAAGCAAUGUACCUCCUAUUGGAUGGUGACCUAGAAACCCUAUAGCCUGGAGAUGACGUCGAACUCAUAAUCAAGUACAGAAAUGGUAAAGAAGUUGCAACAGAUAUCAGACUAUUGCCUCAAGGAACAGUCAUUUUUGAAGAUAUCAGCAUUGAACAUUUUGAAGGAGCUAUAACCAAAGUUAUCCCAAAAGUACCCAGUAAAAACCAGAAUGACCUAGUGCCAGGAUGAAUCAAAGUUGACUUUGUGAUUCCUAAAGAACUUCCCUUUGGAGACAAAGACACAAAAUCCAAAGUGACCCUGCUGGAAGGUGACCAUGUUAGGUUUAAUAUUUCAACAGACCGAGGUGACAAAUUAGAUUGAGCAAUCAACAUAAAGUUUCUAUCAAAUACAUUUCAGUUCACUAAUGAAGCCAGUGAGAUGGGUGUGAUUGCUGCCAUGAGAGAUGGUUUUAGUUUCAUUAAGUGUGUGGAUCGUGAUGCUGGUAUGUCCUUCCACUUCAGUGACAUUCUAGAUGGGAACCAGCUCCACACUGCAGAUGAAUUAGAGUUCACUGUGGUUCCUGAUAUGCUCUCUGCCCAAAGAAAUCAUGCUAUUAGAAUUAAAAAACUUCCCAAGGGCACGGUUCUAGCCCCUUCCCAUUCAGAUUGUCGUUUUCUGGGCACCGUAAAAAAAGAAGCCACUUUUUCCAAUCCUAAAACUACAAGCCCAAAUAAAGACAAAGACAAGGAGGCAGAAGAUGGCAUUAUAGCUUAUGACAACUGUGGGGUGAAACUGACGAUUGCUUUUCAAGCCAAGGAUGUAGAAGGAUCUACUUCUCCUCAAAUAGGAAGAUAAGGUUGAAUUUAGGAUUAGUGACAAACAGAGGCCUGAACAGCAGAUUGCAACUUGCGAGAACUUUUAGGUCAUAAUUCUAACUCCAAAAGGCUCUUGGGUUAUGUGGCAACUCUGAAAGUUAAUUUUGGAUUUAUUGAAACAGCUAAUCAUGAUAAGGAAAUAUUUUUCCACUAUAGUGAGUUCUCUGGUGAUGUUGAUAGUCUGGAACUGGGACACAUGGUUGAAUAUAGCUUUUCUAAAGCCAAAGGCAAUAAAGUCUGUGCUGAGAAAGUAAACAAAACUCACUGAAUGAAUGGCAUUACUAAGGAAGCUAAUCCCACCAUCUACUCUGGUAAAGUCAUUCGCCCUCUGAGAGGUGUUGAUUCAACACAGAUUGAGUACCAAGGAAUGAUUGAGAUUGUGGAGGAGGGGGAUAUGAAAGGUGAAGUGUAUCCUUUUGGCAUAGUUGGGAUGCCCAACAAAGAGGAUUGCCUACAGAAAGGGGAGAGUGUCAAGUUCCAGUUGUGUGUACUUGGCCCAAAUGCACAAGCUAUGGCCUACAACAUCACACCCCUUCGUAGGGCUACUGUGGAGUGUGUGAAAGAUCAGUUUGGAUUUAUUAACUAUGAAAUAGGAGAUAGCAAGAAGCUCUUUUUCCAUGUGAAAGGAGUUCAGGAUGGCAUUGAGCUACAGGCAGGAGAUGAGGUGGAAUUCUUAGUGAUCCUUAAUCGGCACACUGGGAAGUGCAAUGCCUGUAAUGUUUGGCGAGUCUGUGAAGGCCCCAAGGCUGUUGCAGCUCCUCGACCUGACCGGUUGGUCAAUCCUUUAAAGAGCAUCACCCUGGAUGAUGCCAGUGCUCCACUUCUAAUGGUUCUUUGUCAGCCAAGGGGACCAGAUAACUCAAUGGGAUUUGGUGCAGAAAGAAAGAUCCAUCAAGCUGGUGUCAUUGACUAACCACAUCCACAAAGCACAUCAUUAAUCCACUAUAGUCAAGUUGGGGGGAUUCUGAUGAAGGGUUCUGAAUAACUUCCCCUUCAUUCCUCACAAAAUCUGGAAUACUUAUUCUAUUGAGCUAUUACACCAGUUUUAACACCAUCCUCAUGUUAUGUUUAAAGAAAAAUAAAUAAAUAAAUUUAAGAAACCAU